GCCUGGGUGGCUUAGUUGGUUAAGCGUCAAACUUCUGCUCAGGUCAUGAUCUCGCAGUUUGUGAGUUCAAACCCCACAUCAGGCU
rnacentral:tRNA from 1 species